AAUGAACGCUGGCGGAAUGCUUUACACAUGCAAGUCGAACGGCAGCACGGGGGCAACCCUGGUGGCGAGUGGCGAACGGGUGAGUAAUACAUCGGAACGUGCCCAGUCGUGGGGGAUAACGUAGCGAAAGUUACGCUAAUACCGCAUACGAUCUACGGAUGAAAGCGGGGGACCGUAAGGCCUCGCGCGAUUGGAGCGGCCGAUGUCAGAUUAGGUAGUUGGUGAGGUAAAGGCUCACCAAGCCGACGAUCUGUAGCUGGUCUGAGAGGACGACCAGCCACACUGGGACUGAGACACGGCCCAGACUCCUACGGGAGGCAGCAGUGGGGAAUUUUGGACAAUGGGCGCAAGCCUGAUCCAGCCAUUCCGCGUGCAGGACGAAGGCCUUCGGGUUGUAAACUGCUUUUGUACGGAACGAAAAGGCUCUGGUUAAUACCUGGGGCUCAUGACGGUACCGUAAGAAUAAGCACCGGCUAACUACGUGCCAGCAACCGCGGUAA
rnacentral:rRNA from 1 species